GAUGAACGCUGGCGGCGUGCCUAAUACAUGCAAGUCGAGCGAACAGACGAGGAGCUUGCUCCUCUGACGUUAGCGGCGGACGGGUGAGUAACACGUGGAUAACCUACCUAUAAGACUGGGAUAACUUCGGGAAACCGGAGCUAAUACCGGAUAAUAUAUUGAACCGCAUGGUUCAAUAGUGAAAGACGGUUUUGCUGUCACUUAUAGAUGGAUCCGCGUCGGAUUAGCUAGUUGGUAAGGUAACGGCUCACCAAGGCAACGAUGCGUAGCCGACCUGAGAGGGUGAUCAGCCACACUGGAACUGAGACACGGUCCAGACUCCUACGGGAGGCAGCAGUAGGGAAUCUUGCGUAAUGGGCGCAAGCCUGACCGAGCCACGCCGCGUGGGUGAUGAAGGUCUUCGGGUCGUAAAGCUCUGUUAUUAGGGAAGAACAAAUGUGUAAGUAACUAUGCACGUCUUGACGGUACCUAAUCAGAAAGCCCCGGCUAACUACGUG
rnacentral:rRNA from 1 species